AUAUCUUUCUGUGAUGUGCAGUUCCUGUUUGGUAGAUAUUUGGGCACUUCAGCUGUUGUGUAGACCUUUUCAGCCAAGCGAAUAUUUUGAAUAUAUGUGCACAUAAGAUCAAUCAUGAUAGAGGGAGUAAAUCAACCAGCAUAGGAUCUACUUUUGGUGGACUGAUGGGCAGAGUUCAGCAGCCAAUAGCUAAUCAUCAACCCAGAAUGCUCUUGGGUACAACGGCAUUAAUACUCUUGAAAGUGUUAAAGAAUGCAUGAGUAUGAAGUUGACAAGAUUUUCCCCUGGCCUUGGAUUUCGCCUUCCUGGUGAGCGCGGCGAAGGCAACCACAUGGGAGGUGACAUUGGAGUCGUCACCUUCGGUCAAGUUGUACGGGGACCAGGAAGCGAGGAUAUGCUGCGAUGGCCUUGAAGAGCUACGUGUGAGUUCGGCCAGGGGAAGACCGACGUGAGUUUGGAGUAGAGACAGCGGCCAGUGAGCUGGACUCCCGUUUUCCAAGACAUUUGAGACGAGGUGUUUGAGAAUAAUCCAAGGAGGUUGCACAACAUAAUAAAUCCAUGUGAUACUUGAAUCUGCAAGCUCUAGGUUUUGAUCAGACCGAGGUAUGUAAGCAUGAAAGAGGACUGGUGUUGAUGCUGGAUAUAAGCGAGUCACAAUUGUUCAUUGCAAGUCACCAGAUCUAAACCUAUAAUCUCUUAGCUACAUCUUUUCUGGAACAUUGUUGAACUAUUUUCAAGUUUGAAUAGACUACUGUAAGCAGUUUUUAAAUUCGACUUUGUUCAUUUAAGGAAGCAGGUUGGUUUCAUAAAAAAAUAAGAGUGGGGCUUUGUCUGCUUUGAUAAUAUGAUCGUUCACUUCAUUCUAUCUUGCUGUUUUUAAAGUCGUGGAUUUUUCACCAUCCUUUUCGUGGAAACUUGGUACUCUGUACAUUAUGUUAUGCAUCUACUAUGCAGAUACUUGUGUCAUAAAUUGCUUUUAUCCGCCU